rnacentral:lncRNA from 1 species
UCUCUGGGCAACAUAACGCAACUUAGACACUCUCUCCGACUACUUAUGCCACCCUAUCUUGCCCUAGGUUUUGAGGCUUUCCCCUCAAUCUUGUCUGCAUAAUGAGUAGCUUCACCCACUUUACUCUCGACCCUAUGCUUCUUCCAUAUUAAUAGGCCAUUUCCAAGCUGUUACACACCCAAUGCCCACCUCAAUUUUUCAAAUUUAAAUUCAAAACCCCUAGCCAUCUGCUCUAACAACUGCCUCAUAGUAGGCAAUAAGAACAUCACAUCUGGGUUACCAACUAACCCAUUGCCUAUCAAAAACUUCUCAGAAACACCCUACUUAACCUACCCUACACACUUGGAUGACAACCCUAAAAACUCCUCCCCACAGAAACAACUAGAACCUAUAUCGGUCUCCAAAGUCUUCUCCUACCUAAUGGAUGCUUUAAUCAACCCCACCAACAGCAAUACCUCUAGCAUAGCUCCUAGUCCAACAAGCACCAAGAGAAGCCCUAGGCUAAGGAACAAAACACACAAAGCCCUAGGGAUCCAGAACACCAACCGAAAUAGGAAGAUGUCCUUUUUCAUUAAUUCCCUAACUACCAGCGAUAUCAUCAAGCUAGGUAAAAAGUAUGGUGUCAGCAUAUCUUCUAAAGGUGCUGUGCUCAAACUCCAAAAGCUUGAACUUCUUCCAUGCAAGGGGACUAGUUGCCUAAUGGUCUCCCAGAAUGUUGCUUAUACGACUGAAGAUGGUUGCUAGGUCUCGAAUUGUACCUUGCUCUUUCCUUACAGUUCAA